rnacentral:rRNA from 1 species
GACGAACGCUGGCGGCGUGCCUAAUACAUGCAAGUAGAACGCUGAAGAGAGGAGCUUGCUCUUCUUGGAUGAGUUGCGAACGGGUGAGUAACGCGUAGGUAACCUGCCUUGUAGCGGGGGAUAACUAUUGGAAACGAUAGCUAAUACCGCAUAACAAUGGAUGACUCAUGUCAUUUAUUUGAAAGGGGCAAAUGCUCCACUACAAGAUGGACCUGCGUUGUAUUAGCUAGUAGGUGAGGUAACGGCUCACCUAGGCGACGAUACAUAGCCGACCUGAGAGGGUGAUCGGCCACACUGGGACUGAGACACGGCCCAGACUCCUACGGGAGGCAGCAGUAGGGAAUCUUCGGCAAUGGGGGCAACCCUGACCGAGCAACGCCGCGUGAGUGAAGAAGGUUUUCGGAUCGUAAAGCUCUGUUGUAAGUCAAGAACGAGUGUGAGAGUGGAAAGUUCACACUGUGACGGUAGCUUACCAGAAAGGGACGGCUAACUACGUGCCAGCAGCCGCGGUAAUACGUAGGUCCCGAGCGUUGUCCGGAUUUAUUGGGCGUNAAGCGAGCGCAGGCGGUUUGAUAAGUCUGAAGUUAAGGCUGUGGCUCAACCAUAGUUCGCUUUGGAAACUGUCAAACUUGAGUGCAGAAGGGGAGAGUGGAAUUCCAUGUGUAGCGGUGAAAUGCGUAGAUAUAUGGAGGAACACCGGUGGCGAAAGCGGCUCUCUGGUCUGUAACUGACGCUGAGGCUCGAAAGCGUGGGGAGCGAACAGGAUUAGGUACCCUGGUAGUCCACGCCGUAAACGAUGAGUGCUAGGUGUUGGAUCCUUUCCGGGAUUCAGUGCCGCAGCUAACGCAUUAAGCACUCCGCCUGGGGAGUACGACCGCAAGGUUGAAACUCAAAGGAAUUGACGGGGGCCCGCACAAGCGGUGGAGCAUGUGGUUUAAUUCGAAGCAACGCGAAGAACCUUACCAGGUCUUGACAUCCCGAUGCUAUUUCUAGAGAUAGAAAGUUACUUCGGUACAUCGGUGACAGGUGGUGCAUGGUUGUCGUCAGCUCGUGUCGUGAGAUGUUGGGUUAAGUCCCGCAACGAGCGCAACCCCUAUUGUUAGUUGCCAUCAUUCAGUUGGGCACUCUAGCGAGACUGCCGGUAAUAAACCGGAGGAAGGUGGGGAUGACGUCAAAUCAUCAUGCCCCCUAUGACCUGGGCUACACACGUGCUACAAUGGUUGGUACAACGAGUUGCGAGUCGGUGACGGCAAGCUAAUCUCUUAAAGCCAAUCUCAGUUCGGAUUGUAGGCUGCAACUCGCCUACAUGAAGUCGGAGUCGCUAGUAAUCGCGGAUCAGCACGCCGCGGUGAAUACGUUCCCGGGCCU